UUACCACUAUUUUAUUAAAAUAUGUUAUAAUUCCGCCAAUACAAUAUCAAUUUGUAAAAGUGAACGCAUACUUAGGCGGAAAAGAAACUUUGUCUUGAACUGGGUUCACACAAUUUGACUGAAAAGUAAUUUGGAAAAGUUUGCUAGCUAGCUAGCUAGCUAGUUAGCUCACUUAGCUAGUAAAGGUGGAAUAUUUUCACGAAGAUGACCAACGCAGCAACAGCAACAAGUGCAGUGAGACGUGAGAUAAAGAAAAAAAAGAAAAAAGAAAAAGGAUUUGACCUCAUAAGACAAGUGACACGAAGAGAGACAACGUAACCAGAAACAGCGCCACCCAUAGGCCUGGAAUAUGUACUACUGCCUUUCUACAACUAGAUGUGGUUUUGCAAUUUAUGGCGAAAUACUCAACACGACACCAAGGAAAACCAGAGAAAAAGAGAUCGUUGUGGUCCGUGUGAACGUGGCCUCAGACCUCCACGAAUCCACUCAGGACGCAGUGUCACAAGUGGAAUAAAUCUUCUAAGUCCUGUUUGAGGGAGAUCUGAAACAUGACAGAGUCUACAACACUGACAGCUCCACCUGGCCUGAAAGCUGACUGGAUGACAGAGAGGAGCUGCACAGAAGUAGAGUCGAGAGGUCUGGUUUCCAAGGAGAGGAGAAAAAGAGAAGGGAUGCUUUUCACUUGCAUGGCAGCACCCCUCCCUCUCAUUCUUCUCCUAUCAUUCCGGCGACCACUUUUAUGCAUGAAACAGAGAGGUAGAUUGAAAGCAUUCACCGGCCAUUCAGACAAUGAAGAAAGGAGAUCCUCAGAGCUUUAUUAGAUAUGAAGAUCUACAAUAAAAAUCAAUUUCUGGCCUCUUUAUGCAGUUUAAAUGACAAAGCCUCAACCCAUUCAGCCAUUGUGUGCAGGAAAGUAAUUCUGCAGCACCGGCCGAGACAAGAGCGGCGUAUACUUUCUGACCUGCGAUUGCAGAUUCUAAUAUGAUACAGACCUACUGAGAUAAUAGGAGGCACUUAAUAUCAUCUGUUGAGAAGAAAAAAAAAAGUUAUCUCAUAUCUUUUGGUAGAUAGAUGGAUGGGGGAUGAGGUUUAAACCAUUUCACUGGCGGAAUACUAAACAGGCUGAGAUGGACAGCUGAGCGUUUCACUCCUGUCACCGCUCCCUAAUGUGAAGCUUAGGAACACUGGGUGAAAUGAUGGAAAUAUGAUACGGUCAGUUUGAUGAAACAAAGUCGCGUUAUCAAAUUAUUCCGUGGAGUUUUGACAGCGUUUGCAGAUGUAAUGUUGCUUCGUUUCAGCAGGCUUACAACAACAACACGCGUGCAAAAUUCCAACACGGGCUAAAUGCUGCACGGGAAGGGAGUUGCGUUCAGUUUUCUUCCGUUUGUUUUUGUCAAAACUCAUCACACGCCUGUAUCCGUCAGACACCGGUUAACAGCGCAAACGCCCAUGUAUAGAUUCUCAUCCAUCACACCAGAGCGACGCCGGGGCAUCUGAUUCAGCUGCAUCACGACGAGCGCAAACGUGCAGUCAUAAAGAAGAACAAUGAGCGGUGCAACGGAUCUGGGUCUGAUCCCCGCAGGGGCCCGGAUCUCAACAUUACGGAGUCAGCCUGGAUUACAUGAGGAGACAGAAGACACGCAAUCCACACAAGGACUGUGGCAAGUUCAUUAAAAAAAAAAAAAAAAACGGUGUGGUUUUAAAGUGAAAGGGUGCUCACAUCAAAUAUGAUUUCUAUGACUGCUGCAUCCACGCUGCAAGAGGGAACGCUACUGCAGGUUCUGCAUCCCAGCUGCCAUCAGGCUGUACAACACCAGCCCGAAUUAACAAUAACUUACAACUGGGACUGUCUUUGUGACCUGAUUUGUCCUUUUUGCGGACUAUUUUGCACAAUAAUCUGCUUUUUUUUACACUGCCUAUCUCACACUAACUACCUCAAUGUCCACAUUCACCGAUCCAAGCAAUUUAUAUUGUAUUCCAUUUUUUUUAAGCAUUUUUUGUAAUUCCCUGUCCACACUGUUUAUACUGACUAUCAGAGUGCCGUGUAUUCUUGUUUAUUCUUUACUGUCUUUUAUUGUUUCUUGUAUAUAUUUUUGUGCCUUAUUCUGUGACAAGGUCAUUUCCCAUACGCAGGAGAAAUAAACAUUGUCCUAUACCUUA